GAUUAACGCUGGCGGCAUGCCUUACACAUGCAAGUCGAACGGUAACAGGUCUUCGGAUGCUGACGAGUGGCGAACGGGUGAGUAAUACAUCGGAACGUGCCUAGUAGUGGGGGAUAACUACUCGAAAGAGUGGCUAAUACCGCAUGAGAUCUACGGAUGAAAGCAGGGGAUCGCAAGACCUUGUGCUACUAGAGCGGCCGAUGGCAGAUUAGGUAGUUGGUGGGAUAAAAGCUUACCAAGCCGACGAUCUGUAGCUGGUCUGAGCGGACGAUCAGCCACACUGGGACUGAGAAACGGCCCAGACGCCUACGGGAGGCAGCAGUGGGGAAUUGUGGACAAUGGGCGCAAGCCUGAUCCAGCAAUGCCGCGUGCAGGAUGAAGGCCUUCGGGUUGUAAACUGCUUUUGUACGGAACGAAAAGCCCCGGGUUAAUACCCUGGGGUCAUGACGGUACCGUAAGAAUAAGCACCGGCUAACUACGUGCCAGCCGCCGCGGUAA
rnacentral:rRNA from 1 species